UACGGGGGGAGCAAGCGUUGUUCGGAUUUACUGGGCGUAAAGGGCGCGUAGGCGGUCAGCACAAGUCAGUUGUGAAAUCUCCGGGCUUAACUCGGAAAGGUCAACUGAUACUGUGCGACUAGAGUGCAGAAGGGGCAACUGGAAUUCUCGGUGUAGCGGUGAAAUGCGUAGAUAUCGAGAGGAACACCUGCGGCGAAGGCGGGUUGCUGGGCUGACACUGAGGCGCGAAAGCGUGGGGAGCAAACAGG
rnacentral:rRNA from 1 species